AUCAUCUCUUCAGCAAAAGGUGACAGGAUGUAUGACGAAAGAGCUUUGACAAGGAAACAAAAAUAAUAAUAAUAAUAAAGCUGGAGUAAAGACCAAACAUAUAGUGUGUGAGUUUAAACGGCAAAAUAUGACCACCCCCAAGUAUA